rnacentral:rRNA from 1 species
ACGCUGGCGGCGUGCCUAAUACAUGCAAGUCAGAGCGGACAGAUGGGAGCUUGCUCCCUGAUGUUAGCGGCGGACGGGUGAGUAACACGUGGGUAACCUGCCUGUAAGACUGGGAUAACUCCGGGAAACCGGGGCUAAUACCGGAUGGUUGUUUGAACCGCAUGGUUCAAACAUAAAAGGUGGCUUCGGCUACCACUUACAGAUGGACCCGCGGCGCAUUAGCUAGUUGGUGAGGUAACGGCUCACCAAGGCAACGAUGCGUAGCCGACCUGAGAGGGUGAUCGGCCACACUGGGACUGAGACACGGCCCAGACUCCUACGGGAGGCAGCAGUAGGGAAUCUUCCGCAAUGGACGAAAGUCUGACGGAGCAACGCCGCGUGAGUGAUGAAGGUUUUCGGAUCGUAAAGCUCUGUUGUUAGGGAAGAACAAGUACCGUUCGAAUAGGGCGGUACCUUGACGGUACCUAACCAGAAAGCCACGGCUAACUACGUGCCAGCAGCCGCGGUAAUACGUAGGUGGCAAGCGUUGUCCGGAAUUAUUGGGCGUAAAGGGCUCGCAGGCGGUUCUUAAGUCUGAUGUGAAGCCCCGGCUCACCGGGAGGUCAUUGGAACUGGGA